rnacentral:tRNA from 2 species
UCCUCCGUGGCGCAAUUGGCUAGCGCGUUCGACUGUUACAAAACUUCGUGAGCAUCGAGAGGUUGGUGGUUCGAGCCCACCCGGAGGAG